CGCAUCUGUGCAUGCAGCAUAUCAAUAAGCGGAGGAAAAGAAACUAACAAGGAUUCCCCUAGUAACGGCGAGUGAAGCGGGAAGAGCUCAAAUUUGAAAUCUUAAAGGGUUUCCCUUUACGAAUUGUAGUUUAAAGAAGUGUUUUCUGUUGAGGUUUUGGUAAAAGUUCUUUGGAGUAGGACAUCAUAGAGGGUGAGAAUCCCGUAUUUGACCUUUACUUUCAACUUUGUGAUACACUUUCAAAGAGUCGGAUUGUUUGGGAAUGCAGUCCAAAAUGGGUGGUAAAUUUCAUCUAAAGCUAAAUAUUGGCGAGAGACCGAUAGCGAACAAGUACCGUGAGGGAAAGAUGAAAAGAACUUUGAAAAGAGAGUUAAACAGUACGUGAAAUUGUCAAAAGGGAAGCGUUUGACACCAGUGUUGUUUUUCUGAAAAUCAAUUAAAGAACUGUUUAUGCUAAGUUGUUUAGACUUUAUCAGCUAACUGUUUAGUUUUGAGCUUUUCUUUAAUGCACUUUUCAGUUAACAAGUCAACAUCAAUUUCUUUUGCUGUAAAAAAGCUUGAGGAAGGUGGCUUGAGAUUCGUCUUAAGUGUUUAUAGCCUCUUGCCUAUGCAGUCGGAGAGAUUGAGGUCUGCAGCGUAGAUCCUUCGGGGCUAAAUGCAUUUGUGCUAAGUUAUAGCAUUUUAUAGACAACUUGUUGACUAUGAUUUGUCUUGUAGCUUACUCGCUUAUGUUAUUUUACCUACGCUUAGGAUGUUGAGCGCAUGUCUCUCUCU
rnacentral:rRNA from 1 species